GUCCUAUGUCCUAGCAAGCCUGUUAAUAUUUUAUGACUACAGUUAACGGUAACUUACUGCAUAUUUUCUAAUAGGUAGAGGAGAGGAUUUUGAAUGUUCCCAACACAAAGAAAUGAUGUUUGAGGUGAUGGAUACGCUAUCUACCUUGAUGGAUCAUUAUACUUUGUAUAUAUAUGUCGAAAUAUCACACUAAAUCUCAUCUUGAAUUGUAGCUCCUAUAACUCCCAUGUCAUGGGAGGGACCUGGCGGGAGGUAACUGAAUCAUGGGGCAGAUCUUUCCUGUUCUGUUCUCUGGAUAGUGAAUACGUUUCCUGAGAUCUGAUGGUUUCAUAAAGGGGAGAUCCCUGCACAGACUUUCUUGCCUGCCGCCAUGUGAGACGUCCCUUUGCUUUUCCUAGGUCUUCAGCCAUGAUUGUGAGUCCAUUAAACCUUUUUCUUUAUAAAUUACCCAGCCUCGGGUAUGUCUUUAUUAGCAGCCUGAGAAUAGACUAAUAUGCUCUGGAAGAUAUUAUCUUACUCCAGACAUUAUUUUUAGAUCUUUGCCAAUUUGACCUGUGGCAAACGGCACUCCAGCACAGCUUUAAUUUCCACUGCUCUUGUCUGCCCAGGCUGGAGUGCAGUGGUGCAAUCAUAGGUCACUGCAGCCUCCAUCUCCCGGGUUCAAGGGAUUCUCUCACCCCAGCCUCCUGAGUAGCUGGGAUUACAGGUGGGUGCCACCAUGUCCAAACCACUUUUCUUUGGUGAUCUAGAUUUCAUUUGCAGAAUAUCUGUAUAUUAAGGAAUUUAGCCUUUAUGUGGGAUACAGCCAGGAAAACCUUUUUUCCCCAUUAGUCUUUUCACUUUGAUAUGCAUAAACUUUAAAGUCUCAGGUAGUCACCUUUGUCAAGUCCCAUUUUCUUUUACCUGGAAAAUAACCUAAUAGGAUUUUCUACUUCCAGCCUUCCUGCCACCUCCUCCAAAUCUUCUACCAACAGUGAUUCUUGGUGGUUGUAGUGACUCAUGCCUGUAAUCCCAGAACUUGGGGAGGCCAAGGUAGUUGGAGCCAGGAGUUGGAGCCCAGCCUGUGUAACAAGGCAAUACUCUGUCUCUACAAAAUUACCAAAAAAAAAAAAAAAAAAAAAAAGGUUAGCUUGGUGUGGUGGCACACUUCUGUAGUCCCAGCUACGUGGGAAGCUGAGGCGUGAGGAUCACUUGAGCACAAGAGUUCGAGGAUACAGUGAGCCAUUAUCACGCCACUGUCCUCCAGCAUGGGCGAAAUAAACCCGUUUUGUUUUUUUUUUAAAUAAGAACAGUGAUUCUUUUCAAGCAUAAUUCAGAUCCCAGUUCCUUCUCUGCUGACCGUCCCAGUAGUCUCCAUCCCACUCAGAGAACAGCCUCAAAAUCACUCCACCUCUCACAUUUAAACUUUCCCACGAGAUCACAGGGUUCUUUUUCACUGCACUGAGACUUCUUCCUGCCCCUGCCUCGGGCUUUGUCCUAGCCAUUCCUCUCCUGGAAUUCUCUUCCACUCUUCCUUUUGGUGCUUUAAGACGCCCCUUAUCCUAGAGACCUAUGUGAGCAGCGCCCCAACGUCACUCCCAGCUUUUUCCGACAGCAUUUCAGCAUUAACCACUGACCUUGGCGCAUCCGCAUCUGCGGAUUCAGCUGAGGAUUCCCCCACCACCAGCACAGGGUUCUCAGCUGCAGCCACGCCUGCCGGGCCUGCUGCAGGCGUUCAAAGAAUAUUAGACUCUUGUAUCCUAUUUAAAACCUUUUCCACUAAGAGAUUUAAAACACGUGUUUCCCUGCUUUCUACUUUCACGUUACAUUUCUUACGUGUAAACCUGGGAAGCCUCUAGAGAUAACCGCAGUUUCUGGAGAGGCUGGGAUAGACUUCGGAGCCCAGGCCGCCCGGGAACUGCCGUUCCCGGAUCCUCCCCACCCCGGCACGGAUCCCUCGGCAGAGAAGUUAACCUAGGCAGAAGCGAGAGAGGAUCAGCCCCU
ensembl:lncRNA